rnacentral:rRNA from 1 species
AGCAAUGGAGAAAGGUUGAAAGGCGGCCUUUUGGCUGUCACUUACAGAUGGGCCCGCGGCGCAUUAGCUAGUUGGUGGGGUAACGGCCUACCAAGGCAACGAUGCGUAGCCGACCUGAGAGGGUGAUCGGCCACACUGGGACUGAGACACGGCCCAGACUCCUACGGGAGGCAGCAGUAGGGAAUCUUCCGCAAUGGACGAAAGUCUGACGGAGCAACGCCGCGUGAACGAUGAAGGUCUUCGGAUCGUAAAGUUCUGUUGUCAGGGAAGAACAAGUACCGUUUGAACAAGGCGGUACCUUGACGGUACCUGACGAGGAAGCCCCGGCUAACUACGUGCCAGCAGCCGCGGUAAUACGUAGGGGGCGAGCGUUGUCCGGAAUUAUUGGGCGUAAAGCGCGCGCAGGCGGUUUCCUUAAGUCUGAUGUGAAAGCCCACGGCUUAACCGUGGAGGGUCAUUGGAAACUGGGGAACUUGAGUACAGAAGAGGAGAGCGGAAUUCCACGUGUAGCGGUGAAAUGCGUAGAUAUGUGGAGGAACACCAGUGGCGAAGGCGGCUCUCUGGUCUGUAACUGACGCUGAGGCGCGAAAGCGUGGGGAGCGAACAGGAUUAGAUACCCUGGUAGUCCACGCCGUAAACGAUGAGUGCUAGGUGUUAGGGGGUUUCCGCCCCUUAGUGCUGAAGUUAACGCAUUAAGCACUCCGCCUGGGGAGUACGGCCGCAAGGCUGAAACUCAAAAGAAUUGACGGGGGCCCGCACAAGCGGUGGAGCAUGUGGUUUUAUUUGAAGCAACGCGAAGAACCUUACCAGGUCUUGACAUCCUCUGACCCCUCUAGAGAUAGAGGUUUCCCUUCGGGGACAGAGUGACAGGUGGUGCAUGGUUGUCGUCAGCUCGUGUCGUGAGAUGUUGGGUUAAGUCCCGCAACGAGCGCAACCCUUGACCUUAGUUGCCAGCAUUCAGUUGGGCACUCUAGGGUGACUGCCGGUGACAAACCGGAGGAAGGUGGGGAUGACGUCAAAUCAUCAUGCCCCUUAUGACCUGGGCUACACACGUGGAG